rfam:Myotis brandtii contig214509, whole genome shotgun sequence.
GGCAGUUCUCAGGUGACACAACCCAGAAUUGGGCUUCCUCUGCUCUGGUUCCAGGGUGCAUCACCCGAAAACUGCU